UCAAAGGGCUCGUACAGGUAC
rnacentral:siRNA from 1 species